CACAUGCUCCUCCCGUCCAACAAAAGUUUCAAGUUUGUUAAAAUUUAGAUGUAUAUAGAUAUGACUUAGUGUAUAAAUGCAUUCAAAUUUAGUCAAAAUUGAUACAUCCUUUGUUGGACGGGUGGAGUACGUG
rnacentral:pre_miRNA from 1 species